ACGAACGCUGGCGGCGUGCCUAAUACAUGCAAGUCGAGCGGAAUGAUGAAGAAGCUUGCUUCUUCUGAUUUUAGCGGCGGACGGGUGAGUAACACGUGGGCAACCUACCUUGUAGAUUGGGAUAACUCCGGGAAACCGGGGCUAAUACCGAAUAAUCCAUUUUGCUUCAUGGCGAGAUGUUGAAAGACGGUUUCGGCUGUCACUACAAGAUGGGCCCGCGGCGCAUUAGCUAGUUGGUAGGGUAAUGGCCUACCAAGGCGACGAUGCGUAGCCGACCUGAGAGGGUGAUCGGCACACUGGGACUGAGACACGGCCCAGACUCCUACGGGAGGCAGCAGUAGGGAAUCUUCCACAAUGGACGAAAGUCUGAUGGAGCAACGCCGCGUGAGUGAAGAAGGUUUUCGGAUCGUAAAACUCUGUUGUAAGGGAAGAACACGUACGAGAGUAACUGCUCGUACCUUGACGGUACCUUAUUAGAAAGCCACGGCUAACUACGUG
rnacentral:rRNA from 1 species